UGGACGUCUAGGUGUCUAACCUCCUCCGAGGUAGACACCAGAGGUAACCUGACACCAGGGAAGAAAGUGGUCAGUCAGAAAUUCCACAUACUUUGCAGAGGUUAUCUUUACACCUUCGGGGACCCUAAAGGGGACGACCAGCUCUCUUCCCAUGAUUCUAGCCCAAAACAUGACUACACCACCACCUUGCUGAUGUCGCAGCCUUGUUGGAACAGGGUGGCCAUCCACCAACCAUCCACUACUCCAUCCAUCUGGACCAUCCAGGAUUGCACGGCACUCAUCAGUGAACAGGACUGUUUGAAAAUUAGUCUUCAUGUAUUUUUGAUGUAUGUAUGAUUCCCUUUUAUUCCAGAAGUUUGGUCCUUAACCCCUUAAGGACACAUGACAUGUGUGACAUGUCAUGAUUCCCUUUUAUUCCAGAAGUUUGAUCCUUAAGGGGUUAAGGGGUUAAUAAUAUGGAACACCCUCCUUUAGUAGUUUUUCCUU